AUUGAACGCUGGCGGCAUGCCUUACACAUGCAAGUCGAACGGUAACGCGGGGCAACCUGGCGACGAGUGGCGAACGGGUGAGUAAUGCAUCGGAACGUGCCCAGAAGUGGGGGAUAGCCCGGCGAAAGCCGGAUUAAUACCGCAUGAGACCUGAGGGUGAAAGCGGGGGAUCGCAAGACCUCGCGCUUUUGGAGCGGCCGAUGUCAGAUUAGCUAGUUGGUGGGGUAAAGGCCUACCAAGGCGACGAUCUGUAGCUGGUCUGAGAGGACGACCAGCCACACUGUGACUGAGACACGGCCCAGACUCCUACGGGAGGCAGCAGUGGGGAAUUUUGGACAAUGGGCGCAAGCCUGAUCCAGCCAUGCCGCGUGCGGGAAGAAGGCCUUCGGGUUGUAAACCGCUUUUGUCAGGGAAGAAACGCUCUGGGCUAAUACCCUGGGGUAAUGACGGUACCUGAAGAAUAAGCACCGGCUAACUACGUG
rnacentral:rRNA from 1 species